AAGUCGAACGGCAGCACGGGGGCAACCCUGGUGGCGAGUGGCGAACGGGUGAGUAAUGCAUCGGAACGUAUCCUGUAGCGGGGGAUAACCUGUCGAAAGAUAGGCUAAUACCGCAUACGCCCUGAGGGGGAAAGCGGAGGACCGCAAGGCUUCGCACUAUAGGAGCGGCCGAUGUCGGAUUAGCUAGUUGGUGGGGUAACGGCUUACCAAGGCGACGAUCCGUAGCUGGUCUGAGAGGACGACCAGCCACACUGGAACUGAGACACGGUCCAGACUCC
rnacentral:rRNA from 2 species